CCAUCUGAUUUAGAGGGGGUAGGAGGAGGAUUUUGAAAAUGAAUAUCCUAAUCUGGUAAAAGCUAACACAAAAUGCAGGAAACAGUUGUAUACAAAAGUGAAUAUAAAUUUUGAGAGCAAAGGCGCUGAAAAAUAAUUUACAUUUACUAUUGUAGAUAGGAUUUUGUUCAAAUUGUCAUAAUAGACAAUGGAGAAACUGCAUCUUAUCGGUCAGGGCGAGUGAGAAGAGAAUUUAGAGGUUUUAAUCUUUAUGAACAAUUUGCCGACUACGUUCUUGAGGAUCUCAAAAUGAAAAUAAGAGGCCUUAAACGUAUAGUUUUCGCAACAGCAAUGCAGUUCAAAGAUGUUUACCAAAGACUGGAACGAGGAGGGUUUACCUUUAUCACAGCACGUAAAUGUACAUUUUAUGCUGGAUCAAAAACUUCUGUGAAGAAAAGUAUUCAAAAGUCUCAAAAUGACUGUUCCUCUACAACUCUAUUGGACGAAGUGAAUUUCCGAAAAAUUAUUGCUUCGAAAGAAAAAUAUCCGAAUGUGUUCAAAGAUGGCCGACUGGCAGUUGACUCAGUGUUGUACCAUAUUUAUCAGGAAAACGCACCAUUGAUACUGAUGGAAAGAACGAGCGCAGUUAUUUCAUUCCCAGAAAUCUUUGAUAAAACACUUUUAACUUUCUGCAGUUACUUUCGUUUACUGAACGGCGAAACUUUCUGUAAGCUUGAUAUAUAUGGUAAAAUCGGAAGUACUUUAUUAGAACAUAUCAACCUGCAUUUACGGAUUGUUUUGGAACAUGUUACUGAUGUGUUUACGAUUGAUGUUCGAUGCAAUGAGGAUAUAGACCUGAUUGACUAUGCUAUGAUAAACAUAGGUAUGACAAAAGUACCAGAAGGAACUUAUAGCUAUAAAGGCAGUGCUUUCAAUGAAAGACUAGUUGUGACACAAAGUAGGUUAUAAAUUGUGGACCUUAUGACGCAGUGACAUUUUUGUUUAAAUAGCGACACGUGCUAUUGAAGACUACAGUGAUGUACAGGAAAUCGAAGUUGAUAAAACUUUUUACUUUUAAUUUUAAAUAGUUUGACGUUUCACCAGUUCCAAGGUGACUCGGAACAGAACUCGAGCAUGCUGUUUGAAGAUAAUUAUUAAUGAUUUACUCCUUAAAUAAAUCAUUAGCAUUAAAAUUAAUCAUUUCACAAAUCUGAUGUCAAUAGAAAGACUUUAUAUAGAAAACCCCAACAAAUGAAGGAAAAACAAAUAGUAACAGAAUUUGUUCUUUUCCACAUGACACCGUAAAGUAAAACCGCUCUAUCUUGUAUUUAAUUUUAUGAUAAAUAUAUUAGAUUUGUUCUUU